CCUACGGGAGGCAGCAGUGAGGAAUAUUGGUCAAUGGGCGUAAGCCUGAACCAGCCAAGUCGCGUGAGGGAUGAAGGUUCUAUGGAUUGUAAACCCCUUUUAUAAGGGAAUAAAGUGCGGGACGUGUCCCGUUUUGUAUGUACCUUAUGAAUAAGGAUCGGCUAACUCCGUGCCAGCAGCCGCGGUAAUACGGAGGAUCCGAGCGUUAUCCGGAUUUAUUGGGUUUAAAGGGUGCGUAGGCGGCCUUUUAAGUCAGCGGUGAAAGUCUGUGGCUCAACCAUAGAAUUGCCGUUGAAACUGGGAGGCUUGAGUAUGUUUGAGGCAGGCGGAAUGCGUGGUGUAGCGGUGAAAUGCUUAGAUAUCACGCAGAACCCCGAUUGCGAAGGCAGCCUGCCAAGCCAUGACUGACGCUGAUGCACGAAAGCGUGGGGAUCAAACAGGAUUAGAUACCCUAGUAGUC
rnacentral:rRNA from 1 species